rnacentral:rRNA from 1 species
UACGUAGGGGGCAAGCGUUGUCCGGAAUUAUUGGGCGUAAAGAGCUCGUAGGCGGUUUGUCGCGUCUGCUGUGAAAUCCCGAAGCUCAACCUCGGGCUUGCAGUGGGUACGGGCAGACUAGAGUGCGGUAGGGGAGAUUGGAAUUCCUGGUGUAGCGGUGGAAUGCGCAGAUAUCAGGAGGAAUACCGAUGGCGAAGGCAGAUCUCUGGGCCGUAACUGACGCUGAUGAGCGAAAGCAUGGGGAUCGAACAGG